CCUCCAGUAGUUGGUUUAUCACGUCAGUCUAACACACUGAAGGUCCCGCGUUCAAACCGCGGCAUGAGUA
rnacentral:tRNA from 1 species